UUAUCAACCAUCAAGCUCUGCUUGGCAUUGAGUGUCACCCUCCCUCAACCGGGCGGGCGCGCUUCAAACCGGUCGGCGGUGGCUCAGGCCUCUUAAGCGUUAGUAAUACUUCCCGCUUCUAGAGCUUGUAGUCGCCCGCCUCUAAAACCCAACACCUCAAGGUUGACCUCGGAUCAGGUAGGGAUACCCGCUGAACUUAA
rnacentral:misc_RNA from 1 species